ACUGUUUUGUUUUAGUUGUCCAAUGGGUUAGGGGUGUGUGCUUAUGCUAAAAUUUUGUUGAGCCCCAAGCUCCUCCCAAUGACGGGGCUUGCUUAAGCAAUAUAAGAACCUCAAAACAAUGGUGUUUUGCAAAAUAUGGGUCUCAAGAAAGCAUUUUUAAGCAAUUUAAUGAAGAAAAUUUUUCGCUUGAAUUAGCCUACUGAACAAUUAACACCAAUUACACCAUGAAUUUAAUGAGAAAAUUUUGUGUCAUGCCAUAAACUUUUCCUCGAAUCAUUUCAUUAGUUUUAACUUUUAGGCUACUAUUUUGGUCUUAUUCUUUAACCUUUUGCGAAAAAACUUCAUGCGCCAUUUAUUUCCAGUUAAGAAAAAACUAUAAACAAUGAAAGAAACCCAAAAAGUAUAAAAAAUAUUGUAAUUUAGUCUUUCAGAAAUGACCUAUUGUAGUUGAUUGCUAAAACUACACCUCAGACAAACAUUAAUUUGAAAAGAAGCCAUCCUUCCCAUUUGCAAGAGAAAUACUUCCUGCCAUUUUAAUACUACAUCACAGGCACUCUCUGGAUUACCAGCAACAAGAAGAAUUUAGCCCUUGAUCAUUUGUAGAUUUAAGAACGUGUAAGUUCAUCAAGAUAUGAACUAUCAAGAAAAUAAUAACACAAACAAUAUUUACACUUACUGUAUUGUUUCAGCACUCUUACUG
rnacentral:misc_RNA from 1 species